UACGUAGGGUGCGAGCGUUGCCCGGAAUUAUUGGGCGUAAAGAGCUCGUAGGCGGUUUGUCGCGUCUGCUGUGAAAGCCCGGGGCUCAACCCCGGGUCUGCAGUGGGUACGGGCAGACUAGAGUGCAGUAGGGGAGACUGGAAUUCCUGGUGUAGCGGUGAAAUGCGCAGAUAUCAGGAGGAACACCGAUGGCGAAGGCAGGUCUCUGGGCUGUAACUGACGCUGAGGAGCGAAAGCAUGGGGAGCGAACAGG
rnacentral:rRNA from 1 species